AAUAGUUUUAUGCCACAUCAGUAUUCUUAUCCUGAAUUUCAGGAUUUUAUCCUGAAAAAAAUCAAAUCUAAAUUAAAAUACUAAAAUUCAGGAUAAGAAUACUGAUAUGGCAUAAAACUAUU
rfam:Gossypium arboreum cultivar AKA8401 contig_14506_3, whole genome shotgun sequence.